UUAAGAGUACGGACCUUGUCGACCUCGAAGCCAUAUAGGGAUUCAAGGACUCGCUUGAUUUCAAUCUUGGAGGCUGAAGGAAUGGUUUUUAAGGCAAUUUCUCUGAUGUUGGUGAAAGUAGUGGGCAUGAGGAGCUUGAUCGGAAGGUUUGCAAAAUUAACCACUCUUCUUCCCAGUCUGCUCCCCAUCUGUUUGUGUUUUUGCUCGUCUAGCUGCUCGAACGAUAACGAGUUUUCAGACACACAUAUACACACAUUCAUCAUAUAUGCAUUCCACGUUAAACACGUAUUAAAUAAAAAUAGCAUAUUUUCAUCAUUUGACUUCAACUUAUUAAUCAUAUAUAAGUUAUCUUCUUACAUAUGAAUCUUAUUUAUUCCAUAGAAGGAGUUUUUGUUUAAACCAUCCCCUUAGCAUCAAUAACUAAAUCACAUCUCUAAAGAACAAUGAUACAAAUUUUAAUCAUUAAACAACUUGACUUUAAUCUGGUUGCGAAUAACGCUGAAGGGGAAAGCAAUGAAGACUAUGUCAAGACAUGACAGGAAUUACUCCGCAGUUACAUCUAGACUUAUGAACUUUUGUUCUGAAACCACCUUUGUCACGACCCGUUUCCAUGGGCCGGACUAGCACUAGGACCCAGGUAAGCUUAAGGCCUCCGAGGCCCGUAGUAAGCCUAAAUUAUUCAAUCUAUCUUCUUAUCUCUCCCAAUUUCAUCAGAACAGUAAGCUUAUAAAAUAUAAGUUUAUAGAAAUAUUCAAACAUCUGGCCCAAUCUCAAAUACUACAUAAAAUUUAACGAGGACCUAUUCACAAUAAAUCAUAUUCACACUAUGGGCUUACUGGUUCACAUGCAGUUAAUUACACAAUAUUUAAUUUAUAGCGUAGUGCUAACAAUAAGGCCCAAUUAUAAUACACAAUCCUAUACCUGCGGAGUUCAACAAUAAUCUGAUAGUAGAGUAAUUUAUACAACCCAAUGUAAAUAACAGAAAUAUAAAUUUUUUACAUUUGUAACUCUGCGGAGAAGAUUGCAGAGCUUCAGUCGAACCAACUACUUCUUAGUACCUGAGAGAUUUAUUUGGGGGGUGAGUUUUGCAACUCAGUGAAUAAUAAUAAAUAAUACACACCACAUACAGUCAAGCAAAAUGCACCCUAAUAUACUGAAUGAACACACAACAGUCAAUCAUAUGGCAUCAUAUCAGAACCCACAAUUAAUAUCACCUUCAGAUAAUCACAUCACGUGGAAAUUAGUCAGUGGAGUCACCAAAAUCCGAUGAGCCGUACUCUCACAUGGCCCAUCCUUUCAGAUUAAAAAGAAAACAGUAUAUCAGUAUUACGGUUUCCGGAUCCAUAUCACAGUAAACAGUAUCUCAGUAUUAUAGUUUCCGGAUCCAUAUCACAAUAAACAGUAUCUCAGUAUUACAGUUUCCGGAUCCAUAUCACAAUAACAGAAUAUAACCGUACCGGUAAUCAGAACAGGAUCCAUAUAACAAUAACUGAAUAUAACGGUACCGGUAAUCAGAACAGGAUCCAUAUAGUAGUAACAGAAUAUAACGGUACCGGUAAUCAGAACAGGAUCCAUAUAACAGUAACAGAAUAUAACGGUACCGGUAAUCAGAACAGGAUCCAUAUAACAGUAAUAGUCUCACAAACCUGUGGUGACCCACUUCAUUCUAAUUCCACACAAACAAAGCACAGAAUAUACACAGCACAAGUAAUCAAAUAAUGUAUUCAACGUAAUACACCGAUUCCAUCUAUUUGCACAGUCAUCAUCAUAUAAUAAUAGUGACAUAAUAUAUUUAAAAGAUACUCAGAAUAUAUUCAUAUACGGUAUGUUAUGUAAAUACAAUGCUGAUAUGCAUUAUUUAUUAUUACUCACUGUGGUGGAGAACGAAGCUCUAACUUUGAUUCUGUCUGGGAGGAGCACUAGACGGACCCGGGCAAUCUAAGACAAUUCAGAAUGACACCGAAAAAUAAUUAUAUCAGACAAAAUAUUUAUUUAGUACUCUAAUAAUUUUAAGCUAUAUAUUUAACUUCCCUACAUAAUUUAAUCUCUAUAAAUAAUUUGAUUUCUCUACUGAAAUUUCGACAGCGUUUCCCCUAAAAUUUAACUAUCCACCAAUCAACUCAGUCAAUUAUGUCUCAAGUUCUCACAGCCCAUCCAUCGGGCAAUCAAUCCAGUCAAUUAGUCCCGUUCUCCACAUUUUUCCACAUCAACAGUAUCUUAUAUUUUUUUCUAUAAUUCCAUAAAUCAUAAUUUCCUAAUAAUUUAUUUAUUACUAGAAUUAAAUUAUUUUAUUACCCAAGUAAAUUUUAAUUUAUCAAUAGAUCAACACAAUUUAAUUUAACUAAUCAAAAUUGCUAGAAUUAAAUCAAUUAAUCACAAUCGCUUAAUUUAAAUCAAUUACUAAAAUUACUAAAAAUUAAUUAAUUUCUGAGAAUUAAUAAAAAUUAAUUUAUACCCAAUUGUAUUCUUGCCGGAGUUUAUUUGAUCGGUGACGAAAACUACGCGUGCCGGAUCGAAGCUACACGCACUGGGACUGUAAAUGGGUGGCCGGAGUCGGAUCAGAGCAGCUGGACCACCUAAAACCGACGCAAAAACGGACUGAGUUGCAGCGGUGGCGCGAUCUGGCGGAGGAACGGCUGGCUGCCCGAUGGAGCUUGGCGAAUCGUUCCUGGUGGCCGGAGACUUGCUGGAUCGACGCUCACUGGACAGAUCGGAGGAGCAACCUUCUGUCCCUGCUUGGCUUGAAUGGAGAGAGGCGUCGGCGAUGGCGGGCUACUGCAGCGUGGAGCAGCUGCGAGGUGGCGCAACGUGGCUGAGCUCGUGGUGGUGGCUCGCGUUUCUGCUGGAGCUGCUGGGAUGCGACGCAGAUGCAGUCACAGAAAAGAAGAAAGGGAAAGAAAGAAAAGAAAGAAAGAAGAAGAUGAAGAAGAAAGGAGGAGAUGGCGGCGGCGGCUCUGCGUACCGGUGAUUUUGCCGAUGGACUGACUAGAGGCGCAGAGAACGGGUAAGGUGAGCGCCGGAUAUAGAGGGGAGAGGCUUCUAGAAGUGGUUUGGGCUGAAUCGGUUCGAUUCCGGUUCGAUUCAGCCCAAAUCUCGAUUUUCAUUGGAUUUUUAAUUUUUCAGUUGUUUUUCAAUUCGGUUCAUCACUGUACGAAUUGCAUUUAAAUAAUUAACUGCAUUUCCAGGCUGUUAGUUUAUUAAAUUUAAUUAGAAAAUUUUUGAAAAUAAAAAUUCAGGUUAUUUCAUUAGGCAUAGCCGGUUCAGUGAACCGUCGGUUCCGGUUCAAUGAAAUGCCGGUUCUAGAUGUUUAAAAUUUUGAACUAAAACCGACCCUUGAACCUCCGAUUCUGGUUCCGGCGAACCGACGGGUCGAAUUACGGGUCCGAUUCAAUUCCGGCAUUACACAAAUUUUUUUAAAAAUAAUAAAAUUUUGAUUCAGAAUUCAUAAAUAAAUAAUAAUAAUUUUAAAAUAUUUAAAUUUAUUAACUAAAUAAAUUAUUAUAAAAUUUUAAAACAAAAACUUCUAUUAACUAACUUAGAACUAUUAUUACAUUAAAUUUACAAUUUUUGAUAAUUCACUAAUAUAGAAAACUAUAAAUGCAAUAUAAAAUUAAUGAAAUGAGUUGGAAAUUAUUAUUUUCAAAUACUAAGAAAAUUAUCUAAAAAAAUCAAAUGAAGUAAAUUUAUGAAUGAAAAAAAUUAAGAUUAGAGAAAAAAAUUGGAAUUGGAUAUAAGAAAAUAAAAAUACACAAUAGAUAAUUUCAAUGUUAAGGAAAAUAAAGCAAUAGAAAAAAUAAUGAAAUAUGGAAAUUUGAGAGAAUUUUGAUUGANNNNNNNNNNNNNNNNNNNNNNNNNNNNNNNNNNNAAAAUAAAAAAUCAUCAACUCAUCAUAUUUAUACAUGUUUCUCAUUUAUUAGUUUUCUAAAUUGUCCCUUAUAACAGAAAAAUAAUAAUUAUAUUUUUGAAUAAUUUAGUACAUUACAGUAAAUAAAUAAAUAAAUGAUUAAAAAAUAAAUAAAAUUUAUUUACCAAAAAAUAAAUAAAAAACACCUAUCAUAUCAAAAAAUAUUCGUUAUACUCUUUUUUUUAUACACUUGAAAGUAUUUUUUUUUAUAUAAAUCAACAUUCAUGUACCAUUUUUUGUAUAAAUUAAGUAAAAAAAUUAAGUAAAAAAAUGUGUAUUUUUUUCACCACUUUUUAUAACUUAUGUACUAUUGUACUUCUCUUCUCCAUAAAUCAAAUCAAUUACAAUCAAAUCAAGUGAUAUAAAUCUUUUUAUAAAAAUUCUAAGCUACAAUUUUUUUGUGCAUCCGGUUCGAAUCGGACCGGAACUGCCGGUUAACCGCCUAUUCCGGAUCGAUUCCGGUUCAUAUUUUAAAAUUUAUAUAAAUCUUAACCGGCUCUUAAACCACUUAUUCUAGUUCAAAAUUAUGAACUGCGAGUUUCGAUUCGUCUACGGUGCUUGUGUUUUGCUCGUUUAGCUGUUCGAACGAAAACAAGUUUUCGGUAAGUGUUAGAUUAGCGUAUUUGCUUCCCCAAACGAAGUAAUGACUGAAGAGUUUGAGUUGCGGUUUAGCUGUAAGUCAUCAUGGAUUCAUAAAUGCUUGGGCUUUGUUUUUGUGACAAAUUAUUAUAGAAAAUAUUUUAAAAAUAUGGAAAAUAUUUUUUUAAAUAAUUUACAACAUCAAAUUGUAAUAUUGAAAACUAAUUUAAAAGUAUAAAAAUGGUUUAUUUUCACGAAUUACUUUUAUUGUGCCCGUUGUUAUUUUGACAUAUUUGACCUCCUAUUAAUUUUUUUUAAAAAAAAUUUAUAUAAUUGAAUUUUAUAUUUUCAAAUAAAAAAAAAUAACUAUUUCCUUUCUUAAAAAGAUAAGUCAGUUUUCAUCCGAUUUAAUUUUCUUUUUAAUUAAAAAAUAAAACUAUUUACUAGAAAAAUAUUUUUUAUUAGUUAAUUUACCGUUGUUUUUAGAGAGAGAGAAAAAAAAAGAGGAAAAUGCCUACAUUCAUCAUUCAUCCAGUUCAAAUAAUUUCACAUUAGUUCAUCAAUUUUGUGAAAACUUAGAAUGCGUUCCUUGAGCCCUAAUAUAGCAGGUGAAAAAUCACUUCAAGCUUUGACAUUCCUUCUCUGUAAUUUGGGAUCUGCCAAAUCUCAGGGGACUUCUUAUUGGCUAAAAGUAAAGAGUGGCAGCGCAAUGACAAUCGUGGUUUUGAUAGUUUGUGGUUUAGCGAAUUUCUAAUGUCGUUUUAACAUGUGCUAUAAGUUUAAAGAUAUUUAUUUGAGAAAGAAAAUAUUUUAAAAUUAUUACAACACAAGUUUCCAAAUCACCAAAAUAUAUGAAACACAGUACCAACAUAAGCAUAUACAUUAGAAAUAUAUGAGAGAUUAGGCAUGGCCACCGGUUCGGUUCAAACUGAAAUGGAACUGUACUGUAGAUGAAUCGAAAUCGGAUCGAAAUUGGCAGUUCAAAAUUUUGAAUCGGAACUGACUAUUCAAGAGUUGAUUAAGAUUCAUGUGAAUGUUAAAAUAUGAACCGGAAUCGGCAGUUAACCGGCAGUUCCGAUCCGGUUCGAACCAAAAAUUUUUUUUUUUUUUUCAAAAUGAUAAUCACUUAGCCUAUUUUUAUACAUCUCUAAAAAUCUCAAUAAUAUUUUACUACAUGAUAUACUUUACUUAAUAUUUUUUUUUAAAAUACACUUUACUUUAAAAAGUUAAAAUUCUAAAAAGUGAAAUGGUGAAAAAAAAAAGAGAAAUAUUUGGUCUAAACUUAUAUUAUUUUUAACUUUUUUUUUACCAUUGUAAAUUGUUUACUAAGUUUAAAAUUAUAUUCUUUUGAAGUAUUUUUCAAAAUUUUCUUAGAAUUUAUUUAAUUAAUAACAAUUAAACAAAAUAAAGUGAUAAUUUAUUUGAUUAUUUUGUAAAAUUAAUUAAUUUUAUUCUUAUAUGAGUAUGAGCAUUUUAAAAUUUAUUCAAAUAAAAUUUACCAAUAUUUUUAAACUCAUAUUAAUAUUUAGGAAAGAAAAAUGUAACAUUAGAAUCGAUUUUUUUUAAAGCCGAAAAUCAUGAUCGAAAUCGUCAGUUCAUCGGAACCCACCGAAAUCGGCCGGUUCAGGUUCAACAUUUUAAAAAUUUUGAACCGUCGGUUCCGUGAACUAGAACUGGCGGUUCAAUGAACCGGCCAUGCCUAUGAGAGAUCUUGGGACAUCCAAAUUUUGAAAACCUUAUAAACAUUUUGGGACAAUUAAAAAAUGAAUAAAAUGGGACAGAGGGAGUAAGAGACAAGAGGACAUCAACAUGGACAAAAUAAAUCUUUAAAAACAACCAUUAACAAUUAAAAUUUGCAAAGUUUGAAGGGCCUAACAAAAUCAGAGAUUUCACAGCCAAAAUUAAAAAACUGAGAAGCAUUAAAUUAGUCUUAAUGUCAUUGAAAAUAACAAUGUGAGAGUUCAAUAUAAAAAAUAAACAGAACUUUAUAUGUUCUCAAUAGCCAAAACUUGCAAAGUUAGAGAGUUUUAGCAUGAAUGAUUAAUCAAUUCUUCACUCAUAGUAAAUUUGUUUCAUAAAUUUGAAAAUAUUUAAUUACACAUAAUAAAUUAUUACAUAAUUUAUAACUUCAAGGAAAGUCAAAUCACAUAUAAGCUAUCCAUACAAUAAUCAUACCAAUAUUAAAUAUGAAAUAGUUCUUUUGCUAAUUUGCUUCCUCCUCCUUAUUCCAUGCUAUCCAUGAACCAAACAACACUGAGAAGCUAAAAUUUCCCAGAUGUCAAGAUUGGGUUUUCCAGUCCUUUAACUUGCAGUUGCUAUUGUUACUGCAAGCCUCAAAUUACAUCAGAAUUCAUAUCUUUUCCACGACCCAGGUAUAUACAAAAUUUCUGUUACAGGGAAUUACACAAUGACCCAGAAAUCUCAACAAAUCAUGUAGUAAUCUGCACAACUCAAUAAUGCAACCAACAUUUUCAAAAAAUGAACAGAUUUGAUCCUCACUAAUAACUACACACAUUCAAUAGGCAUGCCAAUAUUUUAGACAAACAAAAUGCUAGAAAGGACCUUUCAGGUGUGUAACAUAGGCAGAGCCACAAGAUAAUCUAUUGGUCUUGUAUUGAAAUACGUGGUUGAAAAUUGACAGCUCAGGGCUAACAUUCUGUUUGCAAAUAAGAAACCUGGGUGAUUGAUGCAAUCGAAUUUUGAAGCAGUCAAAUAUAGUGAUAAAAAAGUGAAAAUAUUCAAUCCAUCAUCUCACCUAACACUACUACCAUUCCAGCCACAAACUAGUUUCUCACAUUUAUUACUUGGUCCCCACCCCACUUCAUUUCAUGUUCUUCCAUCUAUCUAAUAUCUUAUGAAUUUUCUAUCACUCCUAACUUACACAACACAUAUUUGAUCACUAUGAAGAAAUCCCUUCCAGCUGGUCGGCCACAGAACUCGGGGAGUGACUCCGAUAGUAUUGAUCAAGUUUACGAGCAAGGCAUCCUAGUUCCAUCCAACGUCAUUGCUUUGGCUGAUAGCUUUGGGAAGAAGGAACAAUCAUGGUAUAGCUAGAAUUCAUUAAAGCAUGGUUCAGCCUUCUCAACCCAGCAAUUAAAAUUGGUUUGAAGACAGCUAUAGCUAUAGCAUGUGUUUGUUUCUAGAGAAUGCCUGAACCAAACUCAGAAUACCUUGGCAUAGUUCACUUUUCUCUUUUGCUCUUUCAGUCAUUUUUUCAAGCAUUUGGUAUGUAGCUUACUCACUCUCUUUGUGUUGAUGGGAUCAUGCAGGUACAUUACUUCCCAGAUUCCAACAGAUCUAACAAUACAAGUUCAAGACAAAACCUUUACUGUUCACAAGGUAACUUGAACAUAAUAGAACUACAUGCAUUUCUCUCUCACACACGCAAAGAGUUCCAUAAAGUACACUAAAAGCACACAACGAAUCUUCAUUUUGUUCAUGUGUAGGGCAUUAUAUUAUGAAAACAUAAUGAGAUAAAGAAAGUAUGUUGAAAAGAAAGUUGGAAAAGAGAAUUUACUGUUCACUAUUUCAUUUGCUAACCUGAUUUAAAUAUUAUUUACAACGACACACACCCCUUAACGAAAUCAUGGCAAUUUUCUAUAUUCUUAACAAACCUGUGAGUUGAAAAUAGAAUCUCCUAUAGAUUAUUUAGAUUUAUCAAUAAGAAUUAUUUGAUAAAACUAUUUAAGAGUGGUUUUGACUCAUCUAAAAAAAUAAAAACUAAAAAAUAAAAAAGUGAUUCUUGUUUAUUCUAAAAUAAUAGAAAUGCAAUGAAAAUUACGUUUAUUUGUGCGUCUGUGUGUAUUAACGUUAGGCUGGACGAGAUGGGAUGGAAUUAUUUCGAGACAUCUGUCAUUCUUCCCUUGAUCAAAUUUUUUUUAAGUUCCCAGCACCACUAAUCUAACAAAGAUUUGAUAACAAGGACAAAAUUAACUAGAAAAAUUCAAAUUGUGGUUUUGUGUUCAAAUUACAGUUGGAUGGGAUUAUGAGAGUUCGAGUUUGAGGUGGAGGAUAGCUAAACUACCCCCAUCAAGUAUAUGUCAAUGCAUAUCUUAUUUCAACAAAGAUGACACGUUAAAGAAAUGACUAGCAAAUGGAUAAAACUACAAGGUUUUUUUGCUAAAGCAUUUUUGGACGUCAUCAAAGAAGAUUUCCCAAUUCCCAUAACGAAUUACACGGUAUACUUGCUAUUGUUAGAGCAAUAAUUUACAAUUUGAACAGAUGUUUUGGAUUGUUUUUGUCAAUAACUCAAAUAGAAAUGAACAUUUCCACUUGGAGGGAGGAGAAAGGGAAAGAGAAAACAAGUAAUUGCACAUAUAUGCCAGACGUUGAACUUACAUUGCUAAACAUAAUAAUAAUUGUUACAGAACUUCUUGGAGUCUACUUGCAUAUAAUUGGAACUAUUUUCCUCAUUUACGCACAUUUUCUCAUUCAUUUCACAUCUUUACCCCCUAUCUAUAUAUCCCCGCAUAAAACUAAUACUGAAAAUUCUAAAUGCAUAAAAACUAAACUACAUGUAUACUAGAUUGUACUUGAUCUAGUUCCAUUCAAUAACCAAUCACACAUUAGUGGAUUUAGGACAUAACCAUAACAAGUAAAAUUUAUAAAUUAAGUCGUAUUUUUUGCUAACACAUUCAUUUCUCCUGCAACAGUAUCCUUUGCUAUCAAAAUGUGGCUACAUAGGCCGUCUAGAACUUCAGCCAUCAAUUUCAAAUUUUGGGUAUGAACUCAAGCUUGAAAACUUCCCAGGAGGACCAGAAACAUUUGAAACCAUUCUAAAGUUUUGUUAUGGACUUCCAUUAGACUUAAAACCUAACAACAUAGCUGCACUAAGGUGUGGAGCAGAUUUCUUGGAGAUGAGUGAAGAACUUGAAGAUGGAAACCUCAUUGCAAAGACAAAAGUUUUCCUCACAUUUGUAGUCCUUUCCUCAUGGAAAGAUACCAUUAUUGUUCUUAAAUCCUGUGAAACUUUAUCUCCAUGGGCAGAAAAUCUCCAGAUUGUUAGAAGAUGUUGCGAUAAAAUUGCAUGGGAAGCUUGUAGAGACAAUUCCAUAAUGGAAGAAAUACUUAAUGACAAAGGAUGGUGGUUUUAUGAUGCAGCUAUCCUUAGAAUUGAUCAUUUCAUGAGAAUAAUAACUGCGACAAGGGCAAAAGGAACAAAACCAGAGAUCAUAGGUAAAUGUCUAAUGCAUUAUGCAGCAGUAUGGUUGCCCGGCAUGGAUGUGGAAUUCAAAGGACUCAGAGGUUAUGGAUACGUAAAAAAUGAGUUCCAGUUUAGUAUCUCGGGUGGGAGGACUGAAGAUGAGGGUGUUGGACACAGCAAGGAGAAAAAGGCCAUCAUUGAGAGUCUAGUAAGUCUACUUCCGCCUCAACAAGAAGCUGUACCAUGCAAGUUCUUGUUGAUGAUGUUAAAGAUGGCUAUUCUGUACUCAGCAUCACCAGCUUUAAUUUCAGAGCUAGAGAAGAGAGUGGGAUUGAUACUGAACAACGCUAGUGUGAAUGAUCUUUUGAUUCCUAAUUAUAAAACUGAAGAUCAAGGAAAAAUCAUGAAGUGAGAAUUCUACCACUUAUCUCUUUCAAAAUUGUUUGACUUGGAACAAAAGAAAAGAAAAAAUGAAAAUAGUAAAACAAACUUCUUGUGAUAAAUCUUCUACACCUGCUUAUUAUCAUUAACUUUACAACAGACAAACAGAGCAAUCCACAAUGCACAACAUAGAUGUGGUACAAAGAAUUGUAGAGUACUUCUUGAUGCAUGAACAAGAACAGCAGCAAUUGCAACCAAUGUCAGAAAAAUCAAAUGUUAGUAAGCUCAUGGACAGCUACCUAGCUGAGAUUGCAAGGGACCCAAAUCUUUCCAUUAUCAAAUUUCAAGCUUUGGCAGAAGCACUACCAAAAAAUGCUAGGCCAUGUGACGAUGGCCUCUAUAGCGCCAUUGAUACCUAUCUCAAGGUUUGCCUUUAGUUCUUUCUCUAUUUCUCGUAAUUUUAGCUAACCAAACUUGAAGGGCCUAAAAAUAUACUAUCCUUCCCAGACUCAUCCUUCACUUUCUGAGCAUGACCGGAAAAGGCUAUGCAAAAUUAUGAACUGUGAGAAACUAUCACUGGAUGCGUGCAUGCAUGCUGCACAAAAUGACAGGUUGCCAGUAAGAACAGUGAUUCAGGUAAAAAGUUUAUAAGAAUUCUUGAUCAUAAAUUCUAUCACUGAAAUCAGAGACUCUAGCCAGCAUAUUCACACUGCACAUUACAUAUAAUGAUUUAUUUUCAACUAGCAGUAAAUUAGAUGGUAAGGCCUAAAGGACAACCCCAAGUACUAAGGAGCAUACAACAAGAUUAGUAUUAGUAGGAAUUCAAGAUGUUAUGCCAAAAAAAACCAAAAAAAUUCACAAAAACAUACACCAAGCUCUUACUACUUUUUCUAGAUAAACCUGACAUAAACUUCCUUGUAUCAGGGGGCAUUAAAUUAUAUGUAUCUUUUUAACUCCUUAAGCACAAAUGUUUGCACUUCUGCUUUAUCCUCUAAUUAUUGUUUAUAUCAUGUAAUUCCUCUCCAUCACAACACAGACAACCCAACCAUCUCAUGUGUAACGUCCCCAUAUUAUCAUGUUAUUCCUCCCCCCCAUCCCCCCACCCCACAAACAAAUGAUGUAUCAAACCAAAAGAAAUCAUGUCAUAUACUUAGUCAUUGGCUCAUUGGCCCAUAAAAGUAAACUAAUACACAAUACUGAGAUGCCAAGACUGUUAAUUUUGGAUACCAACAUUAUGAAAAUAUGUACACUUUGUAGCAAUCUCGUAGCAAAUCUGGCCAUCUAAACAUGUUUAAAUUUGCAAACUUUGUUCUCUCCUUUAAUUAAAAUCUUUUGUUAUUAAGACCAUGUCAACUAUCCUUCAAACUGAAACCUAAAAUCCAUUAACAAAUUAUAAUCGUUGUAAUUUACUCCACCAGUUAAUGCUUGCACUCAUAAAGCACAGAAGUUGUCAAUAUUUACUAAAGCAAAAAGCUGUACUUGUGAUGUGAAACUCAAGCUAAAAUUAUUAAUGCAUUAAACAGUCUUCAAAUAAGAAUUCAUAACAACAAAUUAGAAUGCUAUGUUUAAGCAUUUAGUGCCUAGAACACUAUAUAUAGGCCUCAAACAAAAGAAACAGACAUUUGCUGUGAGACAAAUGAUACACUCAGCAGACACAAACCAUUAGUGCUUAGAGCACUAUAUAAAGGCCUCAAAACAAAAGAAACCGACAUCUUCCACGAGACAAAUAAUACACUCAGCAGAUACAAACCCGAUAAACUCACCAAUCACAAGCAAAACAUUUAAUUCAACCAAAAUACAAUUUUAUCUCAGGACAAAAUCAAUGGAUAUGCAGGUGUUGUUCUCAGAACAAGUAAAAAUGAGGUCGGCAAUGAGAGGAAAAGAGCCAACAGCAACUAGCAAUAACUCAGAACAGGAGGUGAGUCAAGCAUCAACGAGAACAGAAAUCAUGACCCUGAAAGCAGAACUUGAGAAUGUAAAGACACAGAUGGCAGAGCUGCAACAAGACUACUCAGAGCUGCAACAUGAAUAUGGAAAGCUAAACAAACAGCAAAACCAUACAUCAGGCUGGAAUUUGAGUUGGAAAGAGAUCAGGAAAUCUGCUCUUUUCAAUAGAAAAAUGGAUGGGGAAAACAGGGAAGGGCCAGACAAUCCCAAAUCACCAGCACACAAAAUGAACUUCAGAAGAAGACAAUCUGUAUCAUAGUUUUAAAUUUAAAUAUUAAAAUGAAAAGAAAAGAAAAAUUGAAGUCUCAAUUGUGAUCACAUCAAUUUAAUUCCACAGGAAGGCCAUUUCUUAAGGUAGGGCAUAGAGGAAACAAAUAAAUCCUAGGUAUAUAAUGUAUUGUCAUAUCCUGCUUCUAAAAGUUCUGAUGAAACUCUUCCACAUUUUUCUUUAAUAGACAAAACAACAAAAUAUGUAAGAAAAAAAUUCAUUGAAGCUUAAAAUUUGAAGCUUAGUCACUUUCUUGUGGGAAAAAGCACUCGCAUUCACAUAGAAGGUAACGCCAUUAGAGGUUGGGCCAUUUACAUUGACACAUUCAUCAAGAAGGAUUUUGACAAAAAAAAAAAAAGCAUAAAAUUUGAAGUGCUGAUGUAGCAAAACUAACCUCGACCUUAAUUAGGUUAUAACUUUAAAAAGAGUUCAAAAGAGUAAAUUAAUAGAACAUAAUUCAACCAANNNNNNNNNNNNNNNNNNNNNNNNNNNNNNNNNNNNNNNNNNNNNNNNNNNNNNNNNNNNNNNNNNNNNNNNNNNNNNNNNNNNNNNNNNNNNNNNNNNNNNNNNNNNNNNNNNNNNNNNNNNNNNNNNNNNNNNNNNNNNNNNNNNNNNNNNNNNNNNNNNNNNNNNNNNNNNNNNNNNNNNNNNNNNNNNNNNNNNNNNNNNNNNNNNNNNNNNNNNNNNNNNNNNNNNNNNNNNNNNNNNNNNNNNNNNNNNNNNNNNNNNNNNNNNNNNNNNNNNNNNNNNNNNNNNNNNNNNNNNNNNNNNNNNNNNNNNNNNNNNNNNNNNNNNNNNNNNNNNNNNNNNNNNNNNNNNNNNNNNNNNNNNNNNNNNNNNNNNNNNNNNNNNNNNNNNNAAAAAAAAAAAAGUGAAAUGGGGAAGAAAGCAAAACAUGAUAGACCAUCUGAUCAUCUGAUCUCUUCUUUUUCCACAUAGUUUUAUUCAAAAUAUAAGAACUAGUAUAGACACCAAACCAUGAUAGGAUAGAUGCAAGAAUAAUUGAUAUGGGGAAAUCUAACAUCUGUGUUGCAAACCUGAAAGUUCACAACUCAGAUAAAGGGUAAACAUAGAAACUAGUAAGAAAGCAAGACCCAGAAAUUCUUGUCUAUGUGUCUUUCAAUCGACGACAGGUAAAUGCUUAAAGUUUAAACUACUGCAUGAACAAUAACGCAAACAUAUACAGAGAGGAAAAAGAGUAAAUGCUGAAAUCAAAUUCUUCACUUGUAAACCAUAUAAAAGCACAGUACUUAUUCAUAUUGUAUAGCAUCCCAAACAGUACCAAUCAAAAAAAGUUCAUCAAGCUCAUCAAAACCCCUAAAUAAUAAAAUCAAACUAACAUUUCUAAUAUCUCAAGACAAACAAAAAAUAUGAAAAGAAAACUACCUACUAGCACUCCUCAUGCUGCUCCAUGGAAACUUGGCCUUCUCCACGGUAAAGUCACCAACACCACCACGAUCUCUCCUUCUUCCUUUCUCACUCCCAACUCUCUCUUCCUUCUUUCCGUCCAGCCAAUGCUUUUUCCCUUCACCAUCUUCCACAAUACUAGACCUCCUCUGCUUGUUCAUUCUCUCCUUCUCCUCCUCAAUAAUCCUUAGUGGAUACAGAUCAGGAGAUACAGAAAGAGGGUUCUUCAAAGUAACGUAGGCCUUUUUGUAGUCAGGUUUCGCUAGUAGUAUUCCACCGCGCUUCUUCUUCUUCCCUUCCAUGUUAAGAGUACGGACCUUGUCGACCUCGAAGCCAUAUAGGGAUUCAAGGACUCGCUUGAUUUCAAUCUUGGAGGCUGAAGGAAUGGUUUUUAAGGCAAUUUCUCUGAUGUUGGUGAAAGUAGUGGGCAUGAGGAGCUUGAUCGGAAGGUUUGCAAAGUUAACCACUCUUCUUCCCAGUCUGCUCCCCAUCUGUUUGUGUUUUUGCACGUUUAGCUGUUCGAACGAAAACGAGUUUUCGGUAAGUGUUAGAUUAGCGUAUUUGCUUCCCCAAACGGAGUAAUGACCGAAGAGUUUGA
rnacentral:lncRNA from 1 species